CCUACGGGAGGCUGCAGUGGGGAAUAUUGCACAAUGGGCGCAAGCCUGAUGCAGCCAUGCCGCGUGUGUGAAGAAGGCCUUCGGGUUGUAAAGCACUUUCAGCGGGGAGGAAGGCGGUGAGGUUAAUAACCUCAUCGAUUGACGUUACCCGCAGAAGAAGCACCGGCUAACUCCGUGCCAGCAGCCGCGGUAAUACGGAGGGUGCAAGCGUUAAUCGGAAUUACUGGGCGCAAAGCGCACGCAGGCGGUCUGUCAAGUCGGAUGUGAAAUCCCCGGGCUCAACCUGGGAACUGCAUUCGAAACUGGCAGGCUAGAGUCUUGUAGAGGGGGGUAGAAUUCCAGGUGUAGCGGUGAAAUGCGUAGAGAUCUGGAGGAAUACCGGUGGCGAAGGCGGCCCCCUGGACAAAGACUGACGCUCAGGUGCGAAAGCGUGGGGAGCAAACAGGAUUAGAUACCCCUGUAGUC
rnacentral:rRNA from 1 species